rnacentral:lncRNA from 1 species
AAACUAUUAACAUUUACUAUAAAAUUUUGAAACUUUGUAUAAAAAUAUACAUAUAUAUAGGUGUAAUAACGAAUUUGAAAUAGCUACUCCUAUAGCCGGUUUGAUUCGAUUUUUUCAGUUUUUUUGAUUAAAAUUAUAACCAAACCAAAUUUGAUCAGUUUUUAAAAUUCAAAACCAAAACCAAACCAAACCAAACCGAAAAAUAUCGAGUUUUUUUAUCGAUUUAGUUUGGUUUUCGAUUUGUUUCGAUUUUUUAGAAUUUUAUUAACACCCCUACUCGAUGUUAUUUUUGAGACUAAAAAUACCUCUACGACUAACGACAAAAUUUGUAAACCCCACUUUUAAUGCGCUGGCAUCAUGUUGGACCGUGUGGCUCUUGGUGUCAGUCCAUACAUAUGGGUAAAAUACACCCACCUCUUUUAAGACCUGCCUCAUUUAUUUUAGUCCCACUUCAUAUCCAGAUAUCCUUUAUCUGUCUUUAGUAAAGCAAUGAAAUACAGCACUGAAAUUAAAACAACAACAACAAUCAUGGAUACUCUCUGGCUCCCAGAAGCAAUCCAUCUUUUCUCACUACCUCUAAAAUUUCUAAUAAACUUUGCCCUCAUUUACAACACCAUCUCUCCUUAUUCACUUCCUCAAAGUCUCAAACCUAGAAUUUAUCAAAAAAUCUUCACUGCAAAAUUAACACCUAUCUCCUUGUCAAAGUUCCAAUACUAGAAACAAUCCACCAAAAAAAAUAUCUACUACCAAAAUUAUUAUUUUUUGACUGGCCAGUUUAGGAAAAUAAAAAGUAUCCAAACCUCCUAUAAAAAUACACUGACACUUGCGUGAUGAUAGAAUUCAAUUACUGCAGUAAGUUGAUUUUGCUAGAGAUAGAAAAAGAAUAAAGAUAUAUACAGAGAGAGAGACAAAAACAAAUGAAAAAUAGCUUUAAAGUAAGAAAAGGUGAUUUAGAAAAAAUUUAAAGCUACCGUCGGCAAAAUUAAAGCACGAGCCUUCGACAUUACCGGAAUAGAGGUGAAAACCGAUUUCCCAGCCCAUAUAACUUUGUUGUUUUCUGUGCUAUUUUCAGAUUGUGGGAGCUUAAAUGGAGAAAUGUGCAGGUCUUCUCAAAGAAGAAGAACUGGAAAAAAGAAGAAAAAGAAAAAAGAUGGAUCGGGUUAUAAUAGAGUUGGAGCGGGUUAAAUAAUGAGGCGGGUAAAUCUGAAUAUAAGAAAUAAAAUGAGGAGCCACACGGUCCGAUUAUAUGAUGCCAAAGCAUUAAAAGUAGGGUCCAUAAAUUCUGUCGUUAGUCCUAGGUGUAUUUUUAGUAUUAGAAAUAAUGGUGUGUAUAUUUUUGGCACGUAGCAUAAAAAUAAAAAUAUUUAUUAAACGAUAAGGGCAUUUUUAGCCCUUUUCUCUUUUUACAAUGACUCAACA